rnacentral:rRNA from 1 species
UACGAAGGGGGGCUAGCGUUGCUCGGAAUGACUGGGCGUAAAGGGCGCGUAGGCGGUUCAUACAGUCAGAUGUGAAAUUCCUGGGCUUAACCUGGGGGCUGCACUUAAUACGGCCAGGCUUGAGUGUGGAAGAGGGUCGUGGAAUUCCCAGUGUAGAGGUGAAAUUCGUAGAUAUUGGGAAGAACACCGGUGGCGAAGGCGGCGACCUGGUCCAUUACUGACGCUGAGGCGCGAAAGCGUGGGGAGCAAACAGG